GCAUAGGUUUGAAUUUAUGGCAGGCCUUUCCCGUCAGUCUCAUAGUAUCCCAUGCCAGAGCAAACUGGCCCCGAACCAUUGUCUGGCCUCUGAGUCUAAGGCUGCUGGCACUGAAAGGGGUUGCACAUUG
ensembl:snoRNA